rnacentral:rRNA from 1 species
GACGUAGGGGGCGAGCGUUGUCCGGAAUCACUGGGCGUAAAGAGCUCGUAGGCGGGGUUGCACGUCUUGGAGUAAAUCCAUCUGCUUAACGGAUGGGUCGUCUGAGAUACGGCAGCUCUUGAGGACAGAAGAGGAAAGCAGAAUUCCGGGUGUAGCGGUGAAAUGCGUAGAUAUCCGGAGGAAUACCAGUGGCGAAGGCGGCUUUCUGGUCUGAUUCUGACGCUGAGGAGCGAAAGCCAGGGGAGCGAACGGG